rnacentral:lncRNA from 1 species
GAUGAGAUCACCCAAGCUGCCGCCCGUCCACCCGCCUCGGCGCCGCCGUGCCCGUUGGAUGUUCAGUUUCUAUCUAUGAACAAGUAUGCGUCACUUUUUCUUUUUGUUUGACCAAACUCAAGUCCCCUUUCUAAAACUGCAGCCAAGCAGUACUUGCUACUGGAAUAAUCCCAUGAAUGAAUUCUUUGUUGUGGUCAACUCUUUCUUGUCUCUCUACUAGGAUUCAUGCACCAAGCCCAGAAUUAAAAUUUUAUGUCAGGCUGCUAGUAAAUCAGGCUCUACUCUGUCCAAUAGCAAGUUGGAUAGCACCUGUAGUUAAUUGCACGUACAUAUGGGUUUUGGUUCAUUUUGUACGUAUGUUUGUUUGUUCAUGCUUACGACUUUGGCUAAAACACGUUGGAUGCCCAAUUCCUAUGGUGAACCUUUUGGUUCAAGCAAGCAAACUCAUGUUCCCUUUCUAUGACUGAAGCCAAGUUGUACCUACUACUGGCAUAAUACGAUGGAUUCAUUCUUUGUUUGUGGUCAACUCUUGUCUGUCUACUAGCAUUCGUGCGAGAACCUGAAUGUUGUGUAGGCUGCUAUGUUGUACUACCAGUAAACUAGUUUGUACUCUCUCCAACUGCAGGUUGGAUAGCCUUGCAAUUAAUUGUACAGACAUGCAUAUGAUUUUUGGUUCAAUUUGUAUGUAUAUAUAUGCUUAAGACUUUGACUAAAACUAGUUGGAUGUUCAGUUCCCCAUGAAGGUGACCAAUCCCUAGCAGUGCCCAUUGGUCCUUCCUGAUAUUUCACCUCAUGUGAUUUUAAUCUUUGUUUCUUGCUUUCCACAGCGACCAAGUUCUCUUAACAGCGGGACAUCUGAGUUCGUCAUGGUGAUGGAAGCUGACACGGAGCCGCUCGAAAUCUCCUCGACCUCCCAUCAUGUUUCUUGCGGACGGCAAGGUAGAAAUUCUGUCCAUAUACAUCAUACUAAUGCUAAUUAAUUUAUAUGUUGUAGCUUGCGCGAUAUGGUCAUAACAGUAACUGUUAAGCUCAUAAUUCUGUAUGUUGUCUUCAAGUUUUCUCUAAUAUAGAUUUCUCAAAUCUCUCUCUGAACUUCUCUAAUAAAAAAUGGUGUUAACUGUUAAAGCUCUUCGUGGUGACAUGUUUCUGUUACCAAUACAAUAAUAUAUUUGCACUCAAGGACUGUUUGAGUGAUAGGCUGUUCAUACUAUUAGAGAAGUGAACUGAUUAAGAUAUUGCUUUCCCCAACAACAAAAAAUAAACACGGCAGUUGAACAAUGUGUAUCCCUUCACUUGGAAGCCUAUGAAACUUUCUGUAGCAGCAGUGCAACACACUUUAUAUAUAUGUAUGAGGCUGGGUAGUUCAAAUCUACUUUACUUCCUAACUCAUUCAUAUAUAUCAUGGAAAUUGUGCAGGUUCCAUGGUCCCAAGUGGCCUUUGGCCAUCUUGAACUGGGACUCCAGUAACAAGUAGAUGUUGCUGCCACACUCAAUAUUUUAAGUUGUUUUCUUUUUUCUUUUUGGAGAGAUGUUAAUAACCUGAGAACACUUGCCUCCUCUGUUGGAAAUAUGCCCUAGAGGCAAUAAUAAAUUGAUUAUUAUUAUAUUUCCUUGUUCAUGAUAAUCGUUUAUUAUCCAUGCUAGAAUUGUAUUGAUAGGAAACUCAGAUACAUGUGUGGAUACAUAGACAACACCAUGUCCCUAGUAAGCCUCUAGUUGACUAGCUCGUUAAUCAAUAGAUGGUUACGGUUUCCUGACCAUGGACAUUGGAUGUCGUUGAUAACGGGAUCACAUCAUUAGGAGAAUGAUGUGAUGGACAAGACCCAAUCCUAAGCCUAGCACAAGAUCAUGUAGUUCGUAUGCUAAAGCUUUUCUAAUGUCAAGUAUCAUUUCCUUAGACCAUGAGAUUGUGCAACUCCCGGAUACCGUAGGAGUGCUUUGGGUGUGCCAAACGUCACAACGUAACUGGGUGGCUAUAAAGGUACACUACGGGUAUCUCUGAAAGUGUCUGUUGGGUUGGCACGAAUCGAGAUUGGGAUUUAUCACUCCGUGUAAACGGAGAGGUAUCUCUGGGCCCACUCGGUAGGACAUCAUCAUAAUGUGCACAAUGUGACCAAGGGGUUGAUCACGGGAUGAUGUGUUACGGAACGAGUAAAGAGACUUGCCGAUAACGAGAUUGAACAAGGUAUCGGUAUACCGACGAUCGAAUCUCGGGCAAGUACCAUACCGCUAGACAAAGGGAAUUGUAUACGGGAUCGAUUGAGUCCUUGACAUCGUGGUUCAUCCGAUGAGAUCAUCGUGGAACAUGUGGGAGCCAACAUGGGUAUCCAGAUCCCGCUGUUGGUUAUUGAUCGGAGAACAUCUCGGUCAUGUCUGCAUGUCUCCCGAACCCGUAGGGUCUACACACUUAAGGUUCGAUGAUGCUAGGGUUAUAAAGGAAGCUUGUAUGUGGUUACCGAAUGUUGUUCGGAGUCCCGGAUGAGAUCCCGGACGUCACGAGGAGUUCCGGAAUGGUCCGGAGGUAAAGAUUUAUAUAUAGGAAGUCCUGUUUCGGCCAUCGGGACAAGUUUCGGGGUCAUCGGUAUUGUACCGGGACCACCGGAAGGGUCCCGGGGGCCCACCGGGUGGGGCCACCUGCCCCGGGGGGCCACAUGGGCUGUAGGGGGUGCGCCUUGGCCUACAUGGGCCAAGGGCACCAGCCCCAAGAGGCCCAUGCGCCUAGGGAACCCUAGAGGGAAGAGUCCUCAAAGGGGAAGGCACCUCCGAGGUGCCUUGGGGAGGAUGGACUCCUCCCCCCCUCUUAGCCGCACCCCUUCCUUGGAGGAAGGGGCAAGGCUGCGCCUCCCCCCUCUCCCCUGCCCCUAUAUAUAGUGGAGGGGAGGGAGGGCAUCCAUACCUGAGCCCUUGGCGCCUCCCUCCCUCCCGUGACACCUCCUCCUCUCCCGUAGGUGCUUGGCGAAGCCCUGCAGGAUUGCCACACUCCUCCAUCACCACCACGCCGUUGUGCUGCUGCUGGAUGGAGUCUUCCUCAACCUCUCCCUCUCUCCUUGCUGGAUCAAGGCGUGGGAGACAUCGUCGAGCUGUAUGUGUGUUGAACGCGGAGGUGCCGUCCGUUCGGCACUAGGAUCAUCGGUGAUCUGAAUCACGACGAGUACGACUCCAUCAACCCCGUUCACUUGAACGCUUCCGCUUAGCGAUCUACAAGGGUAUGUAGAUGCACUCUCCUUCCCCUCGUUGCUGGUCUCUCCAUAGAUAGAUCUUGGUGACACGUAGGAAAAUUUUGAAUUUCUGCUACGUUCCCCAACAGUGGCAUCAUGAGCUAGGUCUAUUGCGUAGAUUCUUUGCACGAGUAGAACACAAAGUAGUUGUGGGCGUCGAUAUUGUUCAAUAUGCUUGCCGUUACUAGUCUUAUCUUGAUUCGGCGGCAUCGUGGGAUGAAGCGGCCCGGACCAACCUUACACGUACGCUUACGUGAGACCGGUUCCACCGACAAACAUGCACUAGUUGCAUAAGGUGGCUGGCGGGUGUCUGUCUCUCCCACUUUAGUCGGAUCGGAUUCGAUGAAAAGGGUCCUUAUGAAGGGUAAAUAGAAAUUGGCAUAUCACGUUGUGGUUCAUGCGUAGGUAAGAAACGUUCUUGCUAGAAACCCAUAGCAGCCACGUAAAACAUGCAAACAACAAUUAGAGGACGUCUAACUUGUUUUUGCAGGGUAUGCUAUGUGAUGUGAUAUGGCCAAAGAGGAUGUGAUGAAUGAUAUAUGUGAUGUAUGAGAUUGAUCAUGUUCUUGUAAUAGGAAUCACGACUUGCAUGUCGAUGAGUAUGACAACCGGCAGGAGCCAUAGGAGUUGUCUUUAUUUAUUUGUGACCUGCGUGUCAACUUAAACGUCAUGUAAUUACUUUACUUUAUUGCUAACCGUUAGCCAUAGUAGUAGAAGUAAUAGUUGGCGAGGCAACUUCAUGAAGACAUGAUGAUGGAGAUCAUGAUGAUGGAGAUCAUGGUGUCAUGCCGGUGACGAUGAUGAUCAUGGAGCCCCGAAGAUGGAGAUCAAAAGGAGCAAAGUGAUGAUGGCCAUAUCAUGUCACUAUUUGAUUGCAUGUGAUGUUUAUCAUGUUUAUACAUCUUAUUUGCUUAGAACGACGGUAGUAAAUAAGAUGAUCCCUUACAACAAUUUCAAGAAGUGUUCUCCCCUAACUGUGCACCGUUGCGACAGUUCGUGUUUCGAAGCACCACGUGAUGAUCGGGUGUUAGAUUCUAACGUUCACAUACAACGGGUGUAAGACAGAUUUACACAUGCGAAACACUUAGGGUUAACUUGACGAGCCUAGCAUGUACAGACAUGGCCUCGGAACACGGAUACCGAAAGGUCGAACAUGAGUCGUAUAGAAGAUACGAUCAACAUGAAGAUGUUCACCGAUGAUGACUAGUCCGUCUCACGUGAUGAUCGGACACGGCCUAGUUUGACUCGGAUCAUGUAAUCACUUAGAUGACUAGAGGGAUGUCUAUCUGAGUGGGAGUUCAUAAGAUGAACUUAAUUAUCCUGAACAUAGUCAAAAGGUUUUUGCAAAUUAUGUCGUAGCUCACGCUAUAGUUCUACUGUUUAGAUAUGUUCCUAGAGAAAAAUUAGUUGAAAGUUGAUAGUAGCAAUUAUGCGGACUAGGUCCGUAAACUGAGGAUUGUCCUCAUUGCUUCAUAGAAGGCUUAUGUCCUUAAUGCACCGCUCAGUGUGCUGAACCCGAAACGUCGUUUGUGGAUGUUGCGAACAUCGGACAUACACGUUUUGAUAACUACGUGAUAGUUCAGUUAAACGGUUUAGAGUUGAGGCACUAAAGACGUUUUCGAAACAUCACGGAACAUAUGAGAUGUUUCGAGGGCUAAAAUUGGGAUUUCAGGCUCGUGCUCACGUCAAGAGGUAUAAGACCUCCGAUGAUUUUCUUAACCUGCAAACUAAGGAGAAAAGCUCAAUUGUUGAGCUUGUGCUCAGAUUGUCUGAGUACAACAAUCAUUUGAAUCGAGUGGGAGUUGAUCUUCCAGAUAAGACAGUGAUGGUUCUCCAAAGUCAUUGCCACCAAGCUGUUAGAGCUUCGUGAUGAACUAUGACAUAUCAGGGAUAGAUAUGAUGAUCCUUGAGGUAUUCGCGAUGUUUGACACCGCGAAAGUAGAAAUCAAGAAGGAGCAUCAAUUGUUGAUGGUUGGUGAAACCACUAGUUUCAAGAAGGGCAAGGGCAAGAAGGGAUACUUCAUGAAACGGCAAAUCAGCUGCUGCUCUAGUGAAGAAACCCAAGGUAAAACCCAAACCCGAGACUAAGUGCUUCUGUAAUAAGGGGAACAAUCACUAGAGCAGAAUUACCCUAGAUACUUGGUAGAUAAGAAGGCUGGCAAGGUCGAUAGAAGUAUAUUGGAUAUACAUUAUGUUAAUGUGUACUUUACUAGUACUCCUAGUAGCACCAGGGUAUUAGAUACAGGUUCAGUUGCUAAGUGUUAGUAACUCGAAACAAAAGGCUACGGAAUAAACGGAGACUAGCUAAAGGUGAGCUGACGAUAUGUGUUGGAAGUUUUUUCCAAGCUUGAUAUGAUCAAGCAUCGCACGCUCCCUCUACCAAAGAGAUUGGUGUUAAACCUAAAUAAUUGUUAUUUGGUGUUUGCGUUGAGCAUAGACAUGAUUGGAUUACGUCUAUCGCAAUACGGUUAUUCAUUUAAGGAGAAUAAUGGUUACUCUGUUUAUUUGAAUAAUACCUUCAAUGGUCUUACACCUAAAAUGAAUGGUUUAUUAAAUCUCGAUCGUAGUAAUACACAUGUUCAUGCCAAAAGAUAGUAAUGAUAGUACCACCUACUUGUGGCACUGCCACGUAAGUCAUAUCGGUAUAAAACGCAUGAAGAAGCUCCAUAUUGAUGGAUCUUUGGGCUCACUCGUUUUGAAAAGUUUGAGACAUGCGAACCAUGUCUAUUGGUGUAUAUGCAUGAAGAAACUCCAUGCAAAUGGACCGUUUUGACUCACUUGAUUUUGAAUCACUUGGGACAUGCAAAUCAUACCACAUGGGCAAGAUGACUGAAAAGCCUCGUUUUCAGUAAGAUGGAACAAGAUAGCAACUUGUUGGAAGUAACACAUUUUGAUGUGUGUAGUCCAAUGAGUGCUGAGGCAUGCAGUGAAUAUUGUUAUGUUCUUACUUCACAGAUAAUUUGAGUGGAUGUUGAGUACAUUUACUUGAUGAAUCAUGAGUCUGAAUUAUUGAAAGGUUCAAGUAAUUUCAGGGUGAAGUUGAAAGAUCGUCGUGACAAGAGGAUAAAAUAUCUAUGAUAUGAUCAUAGAGAUGAAUAUCUGAAUUACGAGUUUGGCACAGAAUUAAGACAUUGUAGAAAUAGUUUCACAACUAAUACAGCCUGGAACACCAUAGUGUGAUGGUGUGUCCGAACAUCAUAACUGCACCCUAUUGGAUAUGAUGCAUACCAUGAUGUCUCUUAUCGAAUUACCACGAUAGUUUAUGGGUUAGGCAUUAGAGACAACCACAUUCACUUUAAAUAGGGCACCACGUAAUUCCGUUGAGAUGACAUCGUAUGAAUUAUGGUUUAGAGAAACCUAAGUUGUCGUUUCUUAAAGGUUUGGGGCUGCGACGCUUAUGUGAAAAAGUUUCAGGUUGAUAAGCUCGAACCCAAAGCAGAUAAAAUGCAUCUUCAUAGGACACCCAAAAACAGUUGGGUAUACCUCCUAAUUCAGAUCCGAAAGCAAUAGGGAUUGUUUCUUGAAUCGGGUCCUUUUUCGAGGAAAGGUUUCUCUCAAAAGAGUUGAGUAGGAGGAUGGUGGAGACUUGAUGAGGUUAUUGAACCAUCACUUCAACAAGUGUGUAGCAGGGCACAGGAAGUUGUUCCUGUGGCACGUACACCAACUGAAGUGGAAGCUUAUGAUAGUGAUCAUGAAACUUCGGAUCAAGUCACUACCAAACCUCGUGGGAUGACAAGGAUGCGUACUACUUCAGAGUGGUACGUAAUCCUGUCUUGGAAGUCAUGUUGCUAGACAACAAUGAACCUACGAGCUAUGGAGAAGCGAUAGUGGGCCCGGAUUCCGAUAAAUGGCUCAAGGCCAUAAAACCCGAGAGAGGAUCCAUGUAUGAAAACAAAGUGUAGACUUUGGAAGAACUACUUGAUGGUCGUAAGGCUGUUAGGUACAUAUGGAUUUUGAAAGGAAGACAGACAAUGAUGGUAAGUGUCACCAUUAAGAAAGCUCGACUUGUCGUUAAGAUAUUUUCCGACAAGUUCAAGGAGUUGAUUACGGUGAGGUUUUCUCACUCGUAGCGAUGCUAAGAGUCUGUUGGAAUUGGAUUAGCAGUUACUGCAUGAUUGAUGAAAUCUUGCAGAUAGGAUGUCAAAACAUUGUUUCCUCGAUGUUAUACUUGAGGAAAGGUUGUAUGUGAUACAACCGGAAGGUUUUGUCAAUCCCAAAAGAUGCUAAUAAGUAUGCAAAGCUCCAGCAAUCCUUCUAAGGACUGGAGUGAGCAUCUCGGAGUUGGAAUGUAUGCUUUGAUGAUGAUCAAAGAUUUUGGGUUUGUACAAAGUUUAUGAGAAACUUGUAUUUCCAAAGAAGUGAGUGGGAGCACUAUAGAAUUUCUGAUGAGUAUAUGUUGUUGACAUAUUAAUGAUCAGAAAUGACGUAGAAUUUCUGGAAAGCAUACAGGGUUAUUUGGAAAGUGUUUUCAAUGGAAAACCUGGAUUAAGCUACUUGAACAUUGAGCAUCAAGAUCUAUAAGGAUAGAUCAAAACACUUAAUAGUACUUUCAAAUGAGCACAUGCCUUGACAUGAUCUUGAAGGUGUUCAAGAUGGAUCAGUCAAAGAAGGAGUUCUUGCCUGAGUUGUAAGGUAUGAAGUUAAGACUUAAAGCUCGACCAUGGCAGAAUAGAGAGAAAGGAACGAAGGUCGUCCCCUAUGCUUAAGACAUAGGCUCUACAGUAUGCUAUGCUAUGUACCGCACCUGAAGUGUGCUUUACCAUGAGUCAGUCAAGGGGUACAAGAGUGAUCCAAGAAUGGAUCACAGGACAUCGGUCAAAGUUAUCCUUAGUAACUAGUGGACUAAGGAAUUUUCUCAAUUAUGGAGGUGGUAAAAGAGUUCAUCGUAAAGGGUUACGUCGAUGCAAGCUUAAUACCUAUCCGGAUAGCUCUGAGUAGAGAUACCGGAUACGUAUAAUGGAGCAACAAUUUAGAAUAGCUCCAAGUAGAACAGUUAUUUGGAAUAGCUCCAAAUAGAACGUGGUAGCUGCAUCUAGGAGAUGACAUAGAGAUUUGUAAAGCACACACGGAUCUGAAAGGUUCAGACCCGUUGACUAUAACCUCUCUCACAAGCAUAACAUGAUCAAACCCAGAACUCAUCGAGUGUUAAUCACAUGGUAAAUGUGAACUAGAUUAUUGACUCUAGUAAACUCUUUGGGUGUUAGUCACAUGGGGAUGUGACCUUGAGUGUUAAUCACAUAUCGAUGUGAACUAGAUUAUUGACUCUAGUGCAAGUGGGAGACUGUUGGAAAUAUGCCCUAGAGGCAAUAAUAAAUUGAUUAUUAUUAUAUUUCCUUGUUCAUGAUAAUCGUUUAUUAUCCAUGCUAGAAUUGUAUUGAUAGGAAACUCAGAUACAUGUGUGGAUACAUAGACAACACCAUGUCCCUAGUAAGCCUCUAGUUGACUAGCUCGUUAAUAAAUAGAUGGUUACGGUUUCCUGACCAUGGACAUUGGAUGUCGUUGAUAACGGGAUCACAUCAUUAGGAGAAUGAUGUGAUGGACAAGACCCAAUCCUAAGCCUAGCACAAGAUCAUGUAGUUCGUAUGCUAAAGCUUUUCUAAUGUCAAGUAUCAUUUCCUUAGACCAUGAGAUUGUGCAACUCCCGGAUACCGUAGGAGUGCUUUGGGUGUGCCAAACGUCAAAACGUAACUGGGUGGCUAUAAAGGUACACUACGGGUAUCUCUGAAAGUGUCUGUUGGGUUGGCACGAAUCGAGAUUGGGAUUUGUCACUCCGUGUAAACGGAGAGGUAUCUCUGGGCCCACUCGGUAGGACAUCAUCAUAAUGUGCACAAUGUGACCAAGGGGUUGAUCACGGGAUGAUGUGUUACGGAACGAGUAAAGAGACUUGCCGGUAACGAGAUUGAACAAGGUAUCGGUAUACCGACGAUCGAAUCUCGGGCAAGUACCAUACCGCUAGACAAAGGGAAUUGUAUACAGGAUCGAUUGAGUCCUUGACAUCGUGGUUCAUCCGAUGAGAUCAUCGUGGAACAUGUGGGAGCCAACAUGGGUAUCCAGAUCCCACUGUUGGUUAUUGACCGGAGAACAUCUCGGUCAUGUCUGCAUGUCUCCCGAACCCGUAGGGUCUACACACUUAAGGUUCGAUGACGCUAGGGUUAUAAAGGAAGCUUGUAUGUGGUUACCGAAUGUUGUUCGGAGUCCCGGAUGAGAUCCCGGACGUCACGAGGAGUUCCAGAAUGGUCCGGAGGUAAAGAUUUAUAUAUAGGAAGUCCUGUUUCGGCCAUCGGGACAAGUUUCGGGGUCAUCGGUAUUGUACCGGGACCACCGGAAGGGUCCCGGGGGCCCACCGGGUGGGGCCACCUGCCCCGGGGGGGCCACAUGGGCUGUAGGGGGUGCGCCUUGGCCUACAUGGGCCAAGGGCACCAGCCCCAAGAGGCCCAUGCGCCUAGGGAACCCUAGAGGGAAGAGUCCUCAAAGGGGAAGGCACCUCCGAGGUGCCUUGGGGAGGAUGGACUCCUCCCCCCCUCUUAGCCGCACCCCUUCCUUGGAGGAAGGGGCAAGGCUGCGCCUCCCCCCUCUCCCCUGCCCCUAUAUAUAGUGGAGGGGAGGGAGGGCAUCCAUACCUGAGCCCUUGGCGCCUCCCUCCCUCCCGUGACACCUCCUCCUCUCCCGUAGGUGCUUGGCGAAGCCCUGCAGGAUUGCCACACUCCUCCAUCACCACCACGCCGUUGUGCUGCUGCUGGAUGGAGUCUUCCUCAACCUCUCCCUCUCUCCUUGCUGGAUCAAGGCGUGGGAGACAUCGUCGAGCUGUACGUGUGUUGAACGCGGAGGUGUCGUCCGUUCGGCACUAGGAUCAUCAGUGAUCUGAAUCACGACGAGUACGACUCCAUCAACCCCGUUCACUUGAACGCUUCCACUUAGCGAUCUACAAGGGUAUGUAGAUGCACUCUCCUUCCCCUCGUUGCUGGUCUCUCCAUAGAUAGAUCUUGGUGACACGUAGGAAAAUUUUGAAUUUCUGCUACGUUCCCCAACAUCCUCCCCAACCCUCGCCCCAGCCUGCCGGUGCUGGCUUGCUGCGUGGCUGUCGCCGCAACAGAUAAUUAGAUUUUUGGGACUCUGUUUCUAUGCUCUGCUCGAUAGCAUUUUGCAUAUUGAUUGGACAUGCUUUAUAUAAAACGAUUUAUCUUGUACAUUGCUCUGCCUAACUUGUAGGAGUAUACAUGAAACCAUACUUGUCAAAUAUCGAUACUUGUCAAAUAUCAAGUAUCACAGCUGAAUAAUAACGUCUUGUUUUCUGUUCACUGAAUCAAAAUUCUUCUCUCUUUUUAUGAUCAGUCCAUCUUACAGCCAUCAAUAAGAAAAACACUUAUCUUCAUAUUAGGAUUAUUAUUUUCUUGUCUGCAGUAUUAUAAUGUACAUAUGCUUUUCUGUUCACUGAAUCACAAUUCUUCACUCUUUUUACCAUCAAUCCAUCUUCUUACAGUUGCAUGUUUUUUUUGGCUGUCCAGAUGACCAAGCCCAAGGAGGAAGCAGUUGCUCAUCACUGAGGACAAGUAACUCCAGCAGGUUGACGCCGUAGAUUCAUAGUGUACCUUCUAUAUGCCCAUCCAGUUCUGUGAUUUGUGUCUUGAAACCCAAAAACCCCAUGCCCAUGUGGGAGCUGAACCAUAGUUUUUUGCUUGUGGAAAAUAAUAUCCUUGGCUGAAUCGACUUGAGGUGGUUUCUUCAAAAUUCUUGAAAAUGAUUUGGUAGUUUAUUUUGGCGAGGAAUUGUUUCAUACUGAAGUUUACUGGUACAUGUGUGGUUUGCUACUAUUGCUUCGUUUGGGUUGGGUUGGUUCCAGCGGGGAGAUGUGCAUGCACACUGGCAGCAUGAGCUAGCAGCCAUGAUUGCCAGCCAGUCACCACCAUGUAAAUGUAAUAAAUGUGUGGCCUAUCUAGUGUGCUGCUGAUAGAAAUAUAGAUGUGGCCUAUCUAGUGGGUUGCUGAUAAUAUGUUUUUACCUCACUUGGCAGGCACCAUAAUCUGUUUUUUCCUCACUGUACUGUAGGAAUAAAUGUGUGGCCUAUCUAGUGUGCUGCUGAUAGAAAUAUAGAUGGAAGAUUUGUUGACCAGUUAAAUUGAGCUUAUUGUCAAUUCUGCUUAUAAGCUAUGUUUGAUGCUGCCUACAGGUUCUUAUUCUUUUUUUUGCAUAGGUGAAGUAUGAAGUGUGAAGCCGUGAAGCCUAUCAGCAAGAGUAGCAUAUUAUGUAUUGUAAUAUCACGCAAAGUGUAAUAUUGGUCAGAGUAGCAUAUUAUGUAUUGUAAUAUUUAGUGUUGUUUUGGAUGAAUUUUAUUUGCUCUAUAAUCUGUUUGAAAUAUUGAUUGUGUAUAUAAUUUCAAUACCUAUGAAAUGGAAACCUGACCAGGGGGACCCACUUAUGAAAAUUGGUUGACAAAUUUUGAAAUUUCUGAUGUGUGGGUCCAAUUGUGAUAUCAGCAUGACAAGUGGGACCAAUAUGACCAGUGGGACCAGCGCAAAAAUAAU